UUCCCAACACGACGCAUUUCCCUGCCAUUUUUGAAGCCAUUUGUUAGAAGUCCCUGAUCUUGUGCUCCAACUAUAAUUCUUUCUCCAUCGAAACCAAAUUCUCCAUUUGUAAGCCACUGUAUAGACCCUUCUUUUCGAGUUCUUCUUGGAAUCGUCCAGCCCUUCUGU